UACAGAGGGGGCAAGCGUUGUUCGGAAUUACUGGGCGUAAAGGGCGCGUAGGCGGCCUCUUAAGUCGAACGUGAAAUCCCCGGGCUCAACCCGGGAACUGCGUCCGAUACUGGCGGGCUUGAAUCCGGGAGAGGGAUGCGGAAUUCCAGGUGUAGUGGUGAAAUGCGUAGAGAUCCGGAGGAACCCCAGAGGCGAAGGCGGCGUCCUGGCUCGCAUCUGACGCUCAGACACGACAGCAUGGGGAGCGAACGGG
rnacentral:rRNA from 1 species